UACGUAGGGGGCUAGCGUUGUUCGGAAUCACUGGGCGUAAAGCGCACGUAGGCGGAUCUUUAAGUCAGGGGUGAAAUCCCGAGGCUCAACCUCGGAACUGCCUUUGAUACUGGGGAUCUCGAGUCCGGGAGAGGUGAGUGGAACUGCGAGUGUAGAGGUGAAAUUCGUAGAUAUUCGGCAAGAACACCAGUGGCGAAGGCGGCUCACUGGCCCGGAACUGACGCUGAGGUGCGAAAGCGUGGGGAGCAAACAGG
rnacentral:rRNA from 1 species